CAUGUCAUGUGUGUGCACAAAAUUUGCACCGUAUGUUCCAUCCUUUGAAUCAUUAAAUCAGUUUGUAGUUCGCACUUUCAUGCGUCCCUCUUCUACAAAUAUCUU
rnacentral:lncRNA from 1 species